rnacentral:lncRNA from 1 species
GGCGUCCCGGCCCCAGGGCAUCCGAGCCCUUUCCCACCUCUCUGGACCUUUGCCCGGACGUCCAGGCCUCUUAACCCAGCAGGUGCUCUCCCCAGGCUCGGGGUCUUGGGAAUCCAGGGCCUGUGAUCUGCACAGCUGGUAGCAGUUGGCAUUUCCUUAGCCAGAGGCAAUAUGCAAGAACACACGUCCAACCACUAAUGUAUGCAGAUACACAUGGGGGCACACAGCCAUGCACACCUAUUCAUGUGUGCCCAGCGUUUCCAAGAAACACAAAGGGACACUGCAGAGAUGCCCCACCAUGGUAAGUCACCACGGGGGGUGGGGGGACACACUCGAUCCAUAACCUGCAUACUUGUGCAUACACAGGUACCUGCACACUCAAGGGCAAACACACACCCAAGUGACUCACAGGGGACCUGCCCAUGGAGUCUCCCUGGUCGUCGGUAGGUACUUUGCAGAGCAGUCAAUUCCUGAGUUAAUGAAUGUGGACACUCCCCCCACCGCUCCUUAGAGAGGACCUCCUUUGAUAGCCUGGAAGGAGGAUAGGAGAAGACCUAGCUGCAAUGGGUAUUUCCCAGGCAGUGGAAAGGGAGAUUCCUGAACAAGGUCCCAGACUUGGGGCCUACUCUGACCUUGGAGAGACCCUCAGGCAGCCCUGCCCCCACUACCACCACACCCCCCACACGUCCCCUACUGGCUGCCAAGGCCAGUAGAGGCAGCAGAACAAGAACUGCUGAGUCAGGGCCUCUCUGACCCCCCCCCCAGCCCACUGCCCCACCCAUCAUCUGCUGUUCCUCCUCCUGCAGGACCCACACUCACACGUACAAACACCAAAAUGCAGAGGGACAGACAAGCAGGUGCAGUGACCCAGUGACAAGGCUCAAACCCCAGGAGUCUGAGUGGGAAGGGAGGCAAGGGUGAACACCGCUCUUCUGUCUCUACCUUCAGCUUUUCCCAUCAAGGGCAGGAUCAAGCCCAUGUAACCCAGGCUACCUUCAAGUCUGCUAUGGAAUUGAAAGUGACCUGGAGCUUCCGGUCCUUUCUACCUCCCCGGUGCUGGGAUGGCAGAAGUGUGUCCGCCUGCGCAUUAGUCAUGGUUAGGAAUAAAACCCAGGGCUUCAAGCAUGCUUGGCAGAUGUUCUGCCAACUGAGACACAGCCCCAGUCCCCAAACCACAUAGUUUUGAAAUACAGGUCACAUUUAAAAAUAAAUCAACCUGGGAUGGACGGUAA